rnacentral:rRNA from 1 species
GAACGCUGGCGGCGUGCUUAACACAUGCAAGUCGAGUGCGCGUUUCCGUAGCAAUACGGAAAUGGCGCACGGCGCACGGGUGCGUAACGCGUGGGUAAUCUGCCCUCUGAUGGGGAAUAACUCGCCGAAAGGCGAGCUAAUUCCGCAUAACAUUCCUUGGACUCCGGUUCGAGGAUUCAAAGGCGUAAGUCGUCGGAGGUGGAGCCCGCGCACGAUUAGCUAGUUGGUGAGGUAAUGGCUCACCAAGGCUUUGAUCGUUAGCUGGUCUGAGAGGAUGGCCAGCCACACUGGAACUGAGACACGGUCCAGACUCCUACGGGAGGCAGCAGUGGGGAAUCUUGCACAAUGGGCGAAAGCCUGAUGCAGCGACGCCGCGUGGGGGAUGAAGCUUCUCGGAGUGUAAACCCCUUUCGACCGGGACGAAUACCUCGCAAGAGGGGUGACGGUACCGGUAUAAGAAGCCCCGGCUAACUACGUGCCAGCAGCCGCGGUAAGACGUAGGGGGCCAGCGUUGCUCGGAAUUACUGGGUGUAAAGGGUUCGUAGGCGGUGUGGCAAGUCGGGAGUGAAAUCUCUGAGCUUAACUCAGGGGCUGCUUCCGAAACUGCUGUGCUAGAGUGUGGGAGAGGCGCGUGGAAUUGCAGGUGUAGCGGUGAAAUGCGUAGAUAUCUGCAGGAACACCCGUGGCGAAAGCGGCGCGCUGGACCACUACUGACGCUGAGGAACGAAAGCUAGGGGA